GACGAACGCUGGCGGCGUGCUUAACACAUGCAAGUCGAGGGCAUUAUGGGGGCAACCCUGUAGUGACCGGCGAACGGGUGCGUAACACGUGAGCGACCUUGCCUCGUGGUGGGGGAUAGCCGGCCCAACGGCCGGGUAAUACCGCAUAUGGUGGUUCUUUCGCAUGGGAGAACUAGCAAAGCUGUGCAGCAAUGCAUGGCGCCACAGGGGGGCUCGCGGCCUANCAGCGUAGGUU
rnacentral:rRNA from 1 species